rnacentral:lncRNA from 1 species
UGUAAGAAGUUUCCUUUGUUUACUACGCUUAAUUGGGAUUCCACACAUGAAUGAAGAAGAGAAGACGGUCUCUCCCAGGGUGACUGGGAAAGGGAAAAAAAGUGAUGAAGGAACAGUCUGUGCCUCAGGAGCAUAUUAUUUCAAGAAGCACAAAUGAAGAGAAAGUCCAAACCCUCUGGGACAGAUGGACUAAAUAUUUUGGUAUUGGAACCACAUGGGGAAAGGCAGCAGUUGGGAAACAGAAACAGAGGCCUGAUAAGGGAACCUGGAAACAGCAUCAAUCUUCUCAGAAGUUUCCAAGGACUCCAGAUAUGCAGGGAACUG